CCCAGGUGCAGCUGGUGCAGUCUGGCCAUGAGGUGAAGCAGCCUGGGGCCUCAGUGAAGGUCUCCUGCAAGGCUUCUGGUUACACUUGAACCAGGAAACUUACAAUUAUGGUGGAAGGUGAAGGGGAAGCAAGUCCCUUCUUCACAAGGCAGCAGGAUGGAGAGAGAGAGAGAGAGAGAGAGAGAGAGAGAGAGAGAGAGAGAGAGAGAGAGAGAGAAGGAGCUACUCGGGAGGCCGGGAUUACAUGUAUGGCAGUGUGGGAGGGUGAGGUGGGUGGAUCACCUGAGGUCGGGAAUUCGAGACCAGCCUGACCAACAUGGAGAAACCCCCUCUCUACUAAAAAUACAAAAUUAGCUGGGCGUGGCGGGGAAGCUGAGGCAGGAGAAUCGCUUGAACCUGGGAGGCGGAGGCUCCAGUUCCAGCCCUUUGGGAGGCCGAGGCGGGCAGAUCACCUGAGGUCUGGAGUUCCAC
rnacentral:lncRNA from 1 species